rnacentral:rRNA from 1 species
GAUGAACGUUGGCGGAGGGAGGAAUAAAGGCAAGUCGAGCGAACAGACGAGGAGCUUGCUCCUCUGACGUUAGCGACGGACGGGUGAGUAACACGUGGAUAACCUACCUAUAAGACUGGGAUAACUUCGGGAAACCGGAGCUAAUACCGGAUAAUAUAUUGAACCGCAUGGUUCAAUAGUGAAAGACGGUUUUGCUGUCACUUAUAGAUGGAUCCGCGCCGCAUUAGCUAGUUGGUAAGGUAACGGCUUACCAAGGCAACGAUGCGUAGCCGACCUGAGAGGGUGAUCGGCCACACUGGAACUGAGACACGGUCCAGACUCCUACGGGAGGCAGCAGUAGGGAAUCUUCCGCAAUGGGCGAAAGCCUGACGGAGCAACGCCGCGUGAGUGAUGAAGGUCUUCGGAUCGUAAAACUCUGUUAUUAGGGAAGAACAAAUGUGUAAGUAACUAUGCACGUCUUGACGGUACCUAAUCAGAAAGCCACGGCUACCUACGUG